ACCGAGAAGAUGCUCGCGUAUGAGGACGAGCACGAAGAAAUCCGCUGCUAGGUUUGAUUACGAGCUAGUUUUUUCUCUAUGGUUUGGGACCUCUCCGGCGCCAACCUCCAUCCAAUCCUAUCUGAAUUCGCUCCAUUUCGGUGUGGGGGUUUGUGGAAGCUGUAGGAGCUGAUUUGGAAUUUUGGGGGUGAUUUCGUUUCUAGGUUUUGGAACAAACAAAUGAGAUUGAUAUUUCCAAAGCACUAAAAUGGCGCUUCUCCAGUUAAUUGUUAGGUGAAUGGACUGGUAUCCUACAUUUAGUUGGGACACCUCACAUAGAGUCAUGAAGAAGACAUUCAUUUAGGUGAGCAAGUCAACUGAUGAAGCUUAUUGUCUUAAUACGGUAAACAAUCUCAAACUUUGCCUGCAAGAUUGCAGUUUGUCUCUUCAACUCAAGAUUUUGAUUCCGCAUGUUCUCUACUAUCAAUACUUGUUCUAGAGUACUGCACAGG